UGCAAACAAACACUGCGAGGCUCGACGCAGGAAAACUCCCAGGUCUGUCAGAAAAGAUGUGUCAGAGAGAGCUUCUCCAAUAAACUUAAAAGGAUUUGUUUGUCAUCAUGAAGUUGUUACUUUCCCCUGCUGUACAGUUUGCCUACCUGGAAUCAUUGUUUACUCUGGAAGACAUGUUAUACUUAACCUGAGAAAUCAAAUCAAGGAUGAGUUAGAAAUGCUACUCUUAUUUUUAUCUCUUCUUUUAAUUAAACAAAAUUGAAAUCCAGU
rnacentral:lncRNA from 11 species